rnacentral:rRNA from 1 species
GACGAACGCUGGCGGCGUGCUUAACACAUGCAAGUCGAACGGAAAGGCCCUGCUUUUGUGGGGUGCUCGAGUGGCGAACGGGUGAGUAACACGUGAGUAACCUGCCCUUGACUUUGGGAUAACUUCAGGAAACUGGGGCUAAUACCGGAUAGGAGCUCCUGCUGCAUGGUGGGGGUUGGAAAGUUUCGGCGGUUGGGGAUGGACUCGCGGCUUAUCAGCUUGUUGGUGGGUAGUGGCUUACCAAGGCUUUGACGGGUAGCCGGCCUGAGAGGGUGACCGGCCACAUUGGGACUGAGAUACGGCCCAGACUCCUACGGGAGGCAGCAGUGGGGAAUAUUGCACAAUGGGCGGAAGCCUGAUGCAGCAACGCCGCGUGCGGGAUGACGGCCUUCGGGUGGUAAACCGCUUUCGCCUGUGACGAAGCGUGAGUGACGGUAAUGGGUAAAGAAGCACCGGCUAACUACGU